rnacentral:rRNA from 1 species
UUACUGGGAUAGCCCGAGGAAACUCGGAUUAAUACCGGAUAUUCUUAUUUUUUCACAUGAAGUUUUAAGGAAAGGUCAGCCGAACUAAGAUGAGCUCGCGUUCUAUCAGCUAGUUGGUGGGGUAAAAGCCUACCAAGGCUACGACGGAUAGCUGGUCUGAGAGGACGAUCAGCCACACUGGGACUGAGACACGGCCCAGACUCCUACGGGAGGCUGCAGCAGGGAAUAUUGCGCAAUGAGCGAAAGCUUGACGCAGCGACACCGCGUGUGGGACGACGGUUCUAGGAUUGUAAACCACUUUCAGGAGGGAAGAAAAUGACGGUACCUCCACAAGAAGACCCGGCCAACUACGUGCCAGCAGCCGCGGUAAUACGUAGGGGUCAAGCGUUGUCCGGAUUUAUUGGGCGUAAAGAGCUCGUAGGCGGUUCAACAAGUCGGUCGUAAAAGUUUAGGGCUCAACCCUAAAAUGUCGAUCGAUACUGUUGUGACUAGGAUACGGUAGAGGUGAAUGGAAUUCCGAGUGUAGCGGUGAAAUGCGUAGAUAUUCGGAGGCACACCAAUUGCGAAGGCAGUGCACUGGACCGUGAGCGACGCUGAGGAGCGAAAGCUAGGGGAGCAAACAGGAUUAGAGACCCUGG